rnacentral:rRNA from 1 species
AUAAUACGGAGGGGCAGCGUUGUUCGGAAUUAUUGGGCGUAAAGGGCAUGUAGGCGGUUCGGUAAGUUAAAGGUGAAUGCCAGGGCUUAACCCUGGAGCUGCUUUUAAUACUGCCAGACUCGAGUCCGGGAGAGGAUAGCGGAAUUCCUAUGUAGAGGUGAAAUUCGUAGAUAUUAGGAGGAACACCAGUGGCGAAGGCGGCUAUCUGGUCCGGUACUGACGCUAGGUGCGAAAGCGUGGGGAGCAAACAGGAUUAGAUACCCUGGUAGUCCACGCUGUAAAC